CGGACGGGUGAGUAACGCGUGGGUAACCUGCCUUGUACUGGGGGACAACAGUUAGAAAUGACUGCUAAUACCGCAUAAGCGCACAGUAUCGCAUGAUACAGUGUGAAAAACUCCGGUGGUACAAGAUGGACCCGCGUCUGAUUAGCUAGUUGGUAAGGUAAGGGCUUACCAAGGCGACGAUCAGUAGCCGACCUGAGAAGGUGACCGGCCACAUUGGGACUGAGACACGGCCCAA
rnacentral:rRNA from 1 species